UACGGAGGGAGCUAGCGUUGUUCGGAAAUACUGGGCGUAAAGCGCACGUAGGCGGCGCAGCAAGUCAGGGGUGAAAUCCCGGGGCUCAACCCCGGAACUGCCCUUGAAACUGCAGUGCUAGAAUCCUGGAGAGGCGAGUGGAAUUCCGAGUGUAGAGGUGAAAUUCGUAGAUAUUCGGAAGAACACCAGUGGCGAAGGCGACUCGCUGGACAGGUAUUGACGCUGAGACGCGAAAGCGUGGGGAGCGAACAGG
rnacentral:rRNA from 1 species